GAUGAACGCUGGCGGCGUGCCUAAUACAUGCAAGUCGAGCGAACGGACGAGAAGCUUGCUUCUCUGAUGUUAGCGGCGGACGGGUGAGUAACACGUGGAUAACCUACCUAUAAGACUGGGAUAACUUCGGGAAACCGUAGCUAAUACCGGAUAAUAUUUUGAACCUCAUUGUUCAAAAGUGAAAGACGGUCUUGCUGUCACUUAUAGAUGGAUCCGCGCUGCAUUAGCUAGUUGGUAAGGUAACGGCUUACCAAGGCAACGAUGCAUAGCCGACCUGAGAGGGUGAUCGGCCACACUGGAACUGAGACACGGUCCAGACUCCUACGGGAGGCAGCAGUAGGGAAUCUUCCGCAAUGGGCGAAAGCCUGACGGAGCAACGCCGCGUGAGUGAUGAAGGUCUUCGGAUCGUAAAACUCUGUUAUUAGGGAAGAACAUAUGUGUAAGUAACUGUGCACAUCUUGACGGUACCUAAUCAGAAAGCCACGGCUAACUACGUG
rnacentral:rRNA from 1 species